rnacentral:lncRNA from 1 species
GGCAUUACAUUCUUCAAAGUAUUUCCUCUUGACUAGUCUGUCUUCUGUACUAUAGAAUAAGCAACUUGAAGGCAAAGAUUGCAUCUUACUACAUUUGUAUCUUCAAGCCUGGUGCAGUACUUGGCCUUUGGUAGGCUUUCAACCAAUGUUUACGGAAAAACAAAUCAUGCCACUCAGCGAGGCACCCUUUCUGCCUCACCACAUGAUAAGCAGAGAAGGAGAGGAGUAGAAAUAAAUCGUAUGGCGCACUCCCCGAUGUGCCUUGCAAUCUGUGUACAUUAUUUUAUUUAGUGACAGACUGAAACUUUGAUAGAAGCAUAAUCAUGUGGUAGGAAAGGAUAAAUAAUUGUGCUUUUAUACUCUCUUGCUACUUACUGCUGCAGAGUCUCGGGCAGCUAAUUAAGACUCUAAGAACCUUGGUUUUCUCCUAAAAAAAUCAAAGAAUAUAAUAAUAAUUGCCUUGCCAACUUCACAUUGUUUUAGUGAGGAGCAAAUAAGACAAUGUAAAUGAAAGAGAGAUACAAACUAUGCAUAUUAUACAAGUAUGUCAAUAUUAUUUCUCAAAUUUUUAUAGAGCAUAGAUGAUACUGCCAAACAUGAAGAAGAUGCUUCAGUUUUCAGGAAUUUAAUCAAAGGUGAAACCAUUAUCCCACUGUUAAUCAUUGCAACAAGCUGCCUUGCUGAAGUAAAAUUACUGGGAGUCCUGGACCCUUCUUCUGACGGACAGCUUCCCACAGUGGCAGAGAAGCAGCCAUCUGAACGUUUUUCUUUGAUGUCUCCACAUCUGGGUAAGUUCUCUGGUGGCUUGGGGACUCUGAGGUCUCCUCUGAAGCAAUGUGGUUCAUCCAUUCCCUUCUGUAGGAUCCCCUUCCCUGCCUCUCCCUGUCUUCCAUACCUAUUGGGGCAAACACAAUUUGGCCAGGUGGAUAGGCUCUAAUUUUGUAAAUAACUUGGAUCCAUCUGUCUUGUAUGUAGGUCUCUUCCUUUGUGUGAUGCGAGUUGUAUCCAGCAUGCUAUCAAAUUGGCUUAUAAAUAAAAGAGUGCUCAUGAAUUAAACAAGAAUAGGCUAAACUUGAGAGUUGGAAGAGAAUGUCGUGUCUUCUAAAAUUUAACUUCAAGAUUUUUACCUAGGUAAAUCACUGAUGUUUUUAGGCUUUAGAAUAUUUUAAAAAGCUUUGAAAGGGUAGCUUUGUGUAUGGUUUAAAUUCUUAAAAUUAUAGAAUGGUUCUCAUCUAUAAAAUCCCAGUAUUUGAUGGGCAGUUCAGAAUUUUCUGCUUCCUAAGUUUAUAUGAAAUGUGCCAGGAAAGAUGUAUUCUUAAUUGGAAAAAAGAAUAAUAUUUUUUCCAAUCUGGAACUUAUUAAAAGGCUGGUUGAACAUGUGAAGGAACAAGUGAAUAAAAAAGAAAGAUAUGAGGAGAGUUAUGGAUAGAAGAUACGUUUUUUGUGUGUGUGGGGAGGGAUAUAAAGAAAGAGUGAUUUUGCAUGAGGAGGGAUCUUGUGUGGUAGAUUCUUUUCCUAGAAUAAAGUGACAGGUUAUUUGGGAGAGAGGUGGCAUAGGAUAGGUCAGAGAGUCCAAGCAUUGCCAAAGAGUGAUGGGGUUUGUAAAGGGAAAGUUGUCAGGGGGAUUUUGCAUAUGAUUAAGCUGGCUGUGAAGAAAAAUUGUGGUAGACUUUCUAGAAAAUAAUCUACAUAUCGGAACUGGGGUUUCUUAAGGUAUUUGAUUUGCAUUACAGGAAAUUUGUCUUUUAAUGCUAUAACUGGUUUCUUUUAAAACUUCUCAGAUUCAUAUCAAAGAUGUUCAACUGUUACUGUGACUUACUCCCUUUGAGAAGACCUGAGAUAAUAACUUUGCUUUAGGUUUUUAGUCAGCUCCUAUAAUUUUUUCUCCUCCAGUU